AGUUAUGCUACGGACCAUUUAAAAUUAAUUACGAUUUUCGAUUCAUUCAAUUAUAUUUCAUUAAAAAUACCCCUCUAGAAAAUUCUUUGGAGACGCCUAUUUAAUCGCCUAGGUGCCUAUUUUCGCAGCGAAGCAAGAGGAAAGCACCGCGCAUGUUUCUAUCGGAUCGAUACGAAUCGAUUUCCGAUAACAUUGAACAGCAGUUGGUCAGGAAACGGCUCGAAGGGCGGAUGGCGCGCCGCGAGUGAGGUUAUUCUCACUUUUGAGUGACGGGAUUGAAACAAAUUUUCGAUGGAAAUCAAAUAAUUAGAAGGAAAUUAAGCGUCAGCUAAUCCCAUCUACAAAACUAGAUAACCAAAGUUAAACAUGUCUUUGGACUUCUUCACAUAACAGAAGUGGAUAUUCCGGCGUGCCUGCCUUGUUUCAAUCCUGUAACUUAGUUAUUUAGUCACACAACGUGACUCUAUCACGUUAAUUAUGUACUAGUUAGAUUGCUAGCCACUCUGUGAUGGUUUAUCCCUAGAGUGGGCUGUUUUUGUUGGAUAAUACACCAUACCUGAUUUUACUACAACCAACAUCUUCACCCAGGACCUUGCAGUAGGACUUACUCACCACAGCAGCCAACCAGCGUUAGCGUGCCAAAAGAAUUCAUCUCUAUGGACUUGCAACCCUACUUUUAACCGGCUGUUGUGUAAAAGCUAAGUUUAUUUACUUUUUCUGUAUUUACUUUUGGGUAAGAUAUAUUUGCUACAUUGUAAACUUUUCGUAUGCAUACGAUUAGGAAGAGUACAUAUAUUUUCGUGAUAGAUAGGGUUUUAGGUUGUUGUUUUUUUUUUCUUUUUGAUUCAGUAUAAGUAGGAGUUAGUUAAAAUAAAUAAAAUCAGGUCUUGUUUAAUAAUCAUAAAUAAUUGUAACUUAAAAUUUAAUAGGGAAUCGGGUUGUAAAAUUUUGUCGCGGAUUUUAAAUAGGGAAUACGUCUCGUAGGUUUUUUUUGUAAAAUAUAUAAAGAGUCACUGACCAACUCAUUUAUAUAGACCUUUUUGCUAUUCCAACGGACUUUUGAUUUGGAUUUUGAUUUUAAUACUUUUGCUUGGCCAGUGAUAGUGGAUAAUUGCUUGUUGAGUGGCCUUUGCGGUCCUAUUUUAUCUUUUCCCCAUCCACUAUCACUGUUAUUACGUUGCGUUAUAUGUAAAGUGUUAUUAUUUAAUAUUUAUUAUUAAUAUAUUUGUAUGUAUUAA
rnacentral:lncRNA from 1 species